CCUUACCGUAGGGUUUGACAUACAAGUAGUAGGGAAGAAACUGGACCGACCCGUUCGGGGAGUCUUGUACGAGGUGCUGCAUGGCUGUCGUCAGCUCGUGUCGUGAGAUGUCGUUAAGUCCGCUAACGAGCGCAACCCUCGCUGUGUGUUACAAGUGUCACACGGAACUGCCGGUCUUAAGCCGGAGGAAGGUGGGGAUGACGUCAAGUCAGCAUGGCCUUUAUGUCCUGGGCUACACACACGCUACAAUGGCCAACACAAUAGGUUGCUAAGCCGCGAGGUGGAGCCAAUCCUCAAAGUUGGUCUCAGUUCAGAUUGCAGGCUGCAACCCGCCUGCAUGAAGAUGGAGUUGCUAGUAACCGCAGGUCAGCUAUACUGCGGUGAAUACGUUCCCGGGGCUU
rnacentral:rRNA from 1 species